rnacentral:rRNA from 1 species
AAUAUUGGACAAUGGGGGGAACCCUGAUCCAGCCAUGCCGCGUGUGUGAAGAAGGUCUUCGGAUUUGAAAGCACUCUAAGUUGGGAGGAAGAGUUGUAGGCUAAUACCUUGCAAUUGUGACGUUACCAACAGAAUAAGCACCUGCUAACUUCGUGCCAGCAUCCGCGUGAAUACGAAGGGUGCAAGCGUUAAUCGGAAUUACUGGGCGUAAAGCGCGCGUAGGUGGUUCGUUAAGUUGGAAGUGAAAGCCCCGGGCUUAACCUGGGAAUUGCUUUCAAAACUGACGAGCUAGAGUACGGUAGAGGGUAGUGGAAUUUCCUGUGUAGCGGUGAAAUGCGUAGAUAUAGGAAGGAACAUCAGUGGCGAAGGCGACUACCUGGACUGAUACUGACACUGAGGUGCGAAAGCGUGGGGAGCAAACAGG